GGCGCUGGCCAAUCGCGAGUGGCGUGCUCGGCUGGUUCCGCCCCACUUCCUGUUUGCCCGUGAAGGCGGGAAGAGCCGGUCGGGCUGCGGAGCCGGUUGUAGCCGCCCUCUGCCGACGGGCGCGUGCCCUAGCCGCGCUACGCUGCGCGCCCUAGUGUCACUGGACGCCUGCGUCCUUAUUGAAGUGGGAAAUGAAGUCUAGGAACCCCUUCCUUAACCGAGUCAUGGAAACCUCUGGCCCGCGACAUGGGAGACACCCGGGAUCCUGACUUGGUUCCGAAGUCGUAGCUUCCGUGGGCUCGCGCUUAGAGUGGCGGUGCCUUCGUAAAGGCCUGUCACUCAAGCCCUCGUCCAUCACUUCUUUUUGGCCAGUCUUGUGGCCUGGAGGCAGCAGGCGAGGAAAGCGGGUGGUGGGAAGACCUCUGAGAAGACGUGGUUCUCGCCCCGGGGUUGAAUGAGUGUUUCAGGCUGUGGCUGCUUGUGAGGAUAAUGACUGUAACUUACCUCGUCCCUAUGCAGUGUGAGGCUGAAAGUGAGGAAAAAAAAAAUUUGAGAAAUCUACAAAUCUUAGGGUUACUAUAAAUUCACUCAUCUGUGAAAACUGUCUCAUUCUGAUUAAAGCUGAAGGUCACUACACAUGUAUUUUCAGAUUAGAUAAAGCAAAAGUGGGUAUAUUUUAAGGCACAUCCCACAUGUUAUCUAAAUAAGAGACAAUAUCAAACUGAAGAUCCCAGGAGAAGACAAGACUACCAUGAACAUCUUGCAAUCCAUGAUCAAAGUACUGAAUUCACCAGACUGAAGUCAUUUCCAUAUACCUUCCCAUGCCUACUCCUACAAAGUUUCCUGUAAAAGAAGAGACCGGGAUCCCCAAAGCACUUCUUGCUCUUGAGAGAGUCUGCACUGUGCUCUAAGAAUGUGUGUCUUUCCUUUUGCCUUUCAAAUAAAGCUCUUCUUUACUAAAA